rfam:Ictidomys tridecemlineatus contig006460, whole genome shotgun sequence.
AGCUCAGUUGGUAGAGUGCUUGCCUUGUGUGCAGAAGGUCCUGGGUUCAAUCCCCAG